GCUCCAGCAGAUAAGGACAGCAUGGAAUACUGUAGGGUAUGUGAUGACUGUUCACUGUGGCUGGUUCCUUCUGCUGAUAUCAGAAGAUGUUAUAUGCCUUUUUGCUUCCCUCAUUGAUCUUAAGGCUCAAACUUCUAAGCAUUGACUGACUUUCUUUUUCAUGCAUUGCAAAACCAGGGAUUUCAUUGAAGGGGAGCGUUCCAAGCUGCUUUUGAGACACCUGAUGGUGUCUCAUCAGGAGACAAGAGGAUAUUACUAAACCGAUUUCUUGAAAAGGAUCCUUCAGGAUACAUUGCUGCCACUGUGUGUUAGUGGUACGGCCGCAGGUGGGACCCAGUUGAAACUGGUGCAGCGAGUGCCUGAGCCAGCACAGCAGAGCAGCACGGGCAGCUGCUGCACCAGUGUGGGGCCGCAGAUUAGGCAAGGCUAAUUUGUGUUGUGCCCUAUUACAGCCUCACUGCGGCUCCCAGUGAAACGGCCCAGGCCUCGUGCGGUGCAAGCCACUCGCCCCAGCCUGCUGAAGACCAAAGCGCCCAGCCCGAGGACCCUGAUGAAGCUGUGACCGUACUGACAGCUUCCUCUGUCUCCUGCCUCCCAUUCAGCUGCAUGUGAAAGCAUCUUCCAGCCAAGAAGUAUGGAUUUAAUUGACUGCGUGGAUUUGCAACCAUCAGUUCAGCAGCUGCUUCAUGAGCCAUCCUUGCAGGAGGGAAACCUCAGAGAGAUGGAUUCCUCGAACUAGAAGGAUACAACAGGUUGCAGUAUCGGACUGCAGCAAAGUCCCACCUGUGCUACUCUACCCUUCCCGAGCCCGCGGUGCUGGGGCUGUGCCGCCGUUGGGGUAAGCACUGGGCUCCAGGAGCCCGCUCUGCGGUACAGCAUCCCAGGGUUACAAGCACGCUGCUCAGGUUUAGCAAA